GCCGUGCUCACCUCGGGCCACCCUCGGCCCGCUUCGUUGGCCACUCUUGGCAGCUCUUUUGCCCUCUGGCAUUGCUUCCUCGAGGAAGCAAUGCUUCCAGGGUCUCUUAUGUCAGAGAGGCAGCAAUCUUUGGGCCAACAUUCAGGAUUACAAACAUUCCUCGGGGGAUGAGCCAAAGCACUCCAAAGAAGGGACCUAAAUUACUUCAUUGCUGACCACCACAGGGAUGGACUCAGAAGAACUGGAGUUGAAAACUACGCUGACCAUCCUGGGUGACUUCAUUAUUGAAGAAUGACAUUGGUGCUGGGAGCUCAGAAUGAUGUGAAAGCCUGGCUUUGGCAAGCAGGACAGCUUGACUUGUUUAUUGGUAAAGCGGGAUCCUCUUGACUCUUUCUGCCUUUGUCCAAGGUUUCAGAUAGGGUCCCUCUCUUGUCCUUCUCUUUAUGGGUGUCAGGUAUUAUUUGUCUUUUCUAGUCUCAAGUUCUGCU